rnacentral:misc_RNA from 1 species
AACCAUAGAAACCUGCGGAGUACCUGCGGAGGGAUCAUUACAAGAAUCGAGGCUGACGGUGCCUGCUCCCUAGGCUCCGUCCAGUCCCGCUCUCUACCUUGCCUACUGCACCGUUUGUUGCUUCCUGGCGGCGUCCCGUCGCCAGGGCCUUUUGAAAGCCAAGUAUAAGCAUUGAAACUUCUGACAUACACUAAAUCGUACAACUUUUAACAAUGGAUCU